GACGAACGCUGGCGGCGCGCCUAAUACAUGCAAGUCGAACGGGUACCGCUUCGGUGGUGCCAGUGGCGGACGGGUGAGUAACACGUGGGUGACCUGCCCUCCGGUGGGGAAUAACUCUGGGAAACCAGGGCUAAUACCGCAUAUGCUUAACACUUCGCUGUGCUAAGUAAAGAUUUAUCGCCGGAGGAGGGGCCUGCGUCGGAUUAGCUAGGCGGUGGGGUAAUGGCCUACCGCGGCAGCGAUCCGUAGCUGGUCUGAGAGGACGACCAGCCACACUGGGACUGAGACACGGCCCAGACUCCUACGGGAGGCAGCAGUAAGGAAUA
rnacentral:rRNA from 1 species